AUAUGGUUAUUAGCUCUGCUUGAGUGCUUGAAGUUCAUUCUAUCUCGUCUGCUUGGUGUUGCUAGGAUUCCUAGCUGAUUAGCUUUUGGUGUAAUUCAUUACAUCACCACUACUUGAAAUUCUCUCCUAUAAUUUUUAUGUUUAUGUCACCUUUUGAUACUCGUGGCUGCAACUGUUUUUCGUUUUCCUUUUCUUUUAUGGGGUGUUUAUUGUGCUAAUUAGUAUUUAAGCAUAUUUUCUUUUCUCAUUUAAACUUAGUGUUCAAAUUUAAUUGAGAAUUCGGCUAUGGAAAUUCUCUUUCAUGUCUCAAUUUCAUAAAAAUGAUAGGAACUUGGACUCUUUCUGACUAUUCAUGAUGUUAACGGUUGGAAAAGUAGCUAGAUUUCUGUUGCCCAAAUCCUUAGUCUUGUAAAAAUGGAGUAAUUAACUUUGGACUUUAACCUUUUAUAUAGCUGGAAAAUCUCAAUUUCUUGCAUUUGGACUAGAAAUUUAAAAAAUUGAGUCCAUUUUUCACCGCUGCUCUUUCACAUUACUCCAAAAUCUCCCUCCAUUCUAAAAGUCAGAUAUACCGCCAAAAUGUUGGACACGAAGCAUUCUAUUUAAUUUAUUUUCUAUACAUUCAUUAUUCUGUCUCUUUUUUUUUUCUUUUUUUUUUUUGUAUGUGUGUGUGUGCAGGAAGACAUAAAAGAACUUCAAAAAAGUUACUCUAACUCGCCUAUUGGCAGUUCCAAUGAUAUGUUCUCCGUUGUGAGGGGAGAAGAGAGAACUGGUCGUGUGUGGAUGCUUGGCUUCGGGCCUACACCAAGCGAUGUUUGGGGGCCUUCUCCUAGUAAAGCUGAACUGAUUAAUAAAGCAAAAAAAUCUGAUGAGGAGGCACGUGUAGAAUUGUAGGAGACCAUUUAAAAAAUGCAAGCCGAUUAUGACAAGAAGUUGGAAAAUUUACGAGCCAACUAUGACGACAAGUUGGAAAAUUUACAACAACAGGUGGCUAUGCUAAUGCAGAUGCAACAACAAAAUUGUAGUGGACACGGUAAUUCAAAUUAAAUGGGCAAGAAGAGUUGUUGAAGUUGAAGCUGAAGAUGGGGUCGUGGCUGUGCUUUCUGAAUUUCCUUCACCUUGGAUGGGUUCUUUUUGAAAAACUUGUAUUACAUUUGUCAAAAAUUCUUAAUUCUUUUUGUGUGACAUUUAGUA